AUUUCAAAUCAUUAAUCCCCAAAUUCAACAUUUAUUUUCUAGGCUCAAGCAAAUGGAGUGAUCAGCAUAAUUUGUGUUUAGCAGUACAGAUGCUCUAGGUUUUUGCAGUUAUUUAGGUGGGGUAUUUGCAAGUUUGUACACAUAAUUAGAGAACGCUUCAUAUUCUCUUUCACCUCCUACUUCAUCAAUUGGCACAGCAUUGCGAAUUUCUUUCAAAUCUUCUUGUGUUAGCUCCACUGCUAAGGACCCAAUAUUGGUUUCAAGGUUCUUCAAUUUAGUUGUCCCAGGAAUUGGAACUAUGUCUUCUCCCUGGUGCAGAAGCCAAGCCAGUGCUAAUUGAGGUGGAGUGCAGGCAUGCUUUGCAGCCAGAUCCGCAAGACGGGCAUAUAUUACUUUAUUUCUCUCUAAAUUCUCUCCAGUAAAUCUGGGAUGCAUAACCAAUAGGCUCUUAUCAGGCAAGCUUUCCACCACUGCCUUCCCAGCAAAGAACCCACGACCAAGAGGGCUAUAUGCUACUAUGCCAAUACCAAGCUCUCUACAGACUGGAACUAUGUCCUCUUCAAUUUCACAACUCCACAACGAGUACUCCAUUUCUACAGCUGUUAUAGGAUGAACAGCAUUUGCCCUCCUUAUAGUAUCUACACUAGCUUCAGAUAACCCAAUAUACUUUAUCUUUCCCUCCUCUACCAGCUUCUUCAAUUCCCCAAUAGUAUCCUCUAUUGGCACUGAACUGUCCACACGAUGCUGAUAAUACAGAUCAAUAUAGUCCACAUCAAGCCGCUUUAAACUAGCUUCACAGCAUUGCCUCACAUAUUCUGGGCUGCCAUUCACUGCAAAUUGAAAUCCCUUUGACCUUAUAAUGCCAAAUUUUGUUGCUAACUGAACUUUUUCUCUAGGAAGCUGCUUUAAGGCCUUCCCAACCAUGAUCUCAUUGUCAUAAUUAUCUCCAUAUAGAUCAGAUGUGUCAAAAAAGGUGAUUCCUUUCGAAAAAACUUCCUUUAUAAUUUCACAUCCAGCUUCAUGUGGGAGUGGUGGAUUAUAUAUUCCUGAGAGUCCUCCACACCCAAAGCCCAGUCUAGAAACCUCCAAUCCCUGACUGCCCAGUUUCACUCUUGGGAUUUGGAUCUGUGAUUUUGCUUCCAUGGAAACACAGCUUAGCUGAAGAUGCAGUGACAACAAAAUGCUAAAAGUGGCAAAGUUCCUGUAAGGCAUAUCAUUAUGUAUUAUA
rnacentral:misc_RNA from 1 species